UUAGAAAAUAUUAUGAAGUGACGUGUUCCGAGUAAAAAGUUGUAAAACUAGUAUAUCCUCAAUUAUUGUUACUGAAAAUCGUAUAUGACAGGCCUUAUUUUUUCACAGCACGUGUACUGCACAGUAUCAUGCACAUGAACAUGUCGGGUAUUUAAGAUCUUUCGAUUGCAUUGGCAACCUUGUUUCUGAAGUGGCCCCAAAACAGCUGUCAGCCCACUAACUGUCAAGGAAAAAUAUACUGAUUUCACUCUUCGUUUCGCUUAAAUUAAACAAAUUAACUAAAUAAUAAAUUCCUCAAUAAUCCUUGAAAUUAUUUGUUUAUUGUUUGCUAAAUAAACCGUUAGCCAGUAAACUGUAGACACGCAAUAUCGCAGAAGACCAGAAAAACUAUUACAAACGAACAAUCGCAAUAAGACUUAUUCAGAAAUUAAACUUCUAAACAAGACUACGCUUUUCCAGCCGGUUGAGACAAGUACUUAAGGUCUAUCUUUUUUGCCCAUCCCAAAGAUAUUGGACACAACUAGUGUUCUUUUUAGAAUGAGCCUUCACAGAUGGCUGUAUCGGAGAGAAUAUGGCCUGAGGUCCAUGCGUGGAGAUUUUGAUAAUGUUAUGAAUUUGGUCUAUGGAUCGCUGACCGAUUUCGAACACUGGAACGAUAUACCAAAUCAAACCUCAGAUUAUGGAGCUGUUUUCAAUUUGGAAUUUUCUCCCAAAGGUAAUGUCUUGGUAGCUGCCUGCGAAAAGAAGUCAAUACUAUUUUUUGAUACGGUAACACAGAAGCAGACAUAUCACAUCAAGGAUGCGCACAAUGACAAUGUGAAUUUCGAUAUUCGAUAUUUGGCUGAUUUGUGUAAUAUUUUCACCGGAAUUGUAUCAAUUUUGGUAUUAGCAAUGAAUACCACCUCCACUGACAGAAAAUUGCUUAUAUAGGUCCAUGUCUUCGUAUAACCUCCAUAUAAGGCUACCUUUUAUUCGGUAUUUUAAUAAUUUUAGCUACACUUUUUACAGGAAUUAUUUCAAAUUUGGAGUUCACAAUGGGUACUACCAUGGUAAAGUAAAAAGGUAAGGUAGAGCUACCGGCUUAUUACAAUUUUUUCUAAGUGUGUCCGACUUCUGCAAAAUUUUGUGUAUGUAUUUGUUGUUUUGAAAAAUAAAAACGAAAUAUUUUUAAAAUCAA